rnacentral:rRNA from 1 species
GAUGAACGCUGGCGGCGUGCCUAAUACAUGCAAGUCGAGCGAACAGAUGAGGAGCUUGCUCCUCUGACGUUAGCGGCGGACGGGUGAGUAACACGUGGAUAACCUACCUAUAAGACUGGGAUAACUUCGGGAAACCGGAGCUAAUACCGGAUAAUAUAUUGAACCGCAUGGUUCAAUAGUGAAAGACGGUUUUGCUGUCACUUCUAGAUGGAUCCGCGCCGCAUUAGCUAGUUGGUAAGGUAACGGCUUACCAAGGCAACGAUGCGUAGCCGACCUGAGAGGGUGAUCGGCCACACUGGAACGGAGACACGGUCCAUACGCCUACGGGAGGCAGCAGUAGGGAAUCUUCCGCAAUGGGCGAAAGCCUGACGGAGCAACGCCGCGUGAGUGAUGAAGGUCUUCGGAUCGUAAAACUCUGUUAUGAGGGAAGAACAAAUGUGUAAGUAACUAUGCACGUCUUGACGGUACCUAAUCAGAAAGCCACGGCUAACUACGUG